GUACAUAUAAUUAAAAUCUCCUACUAAAAAUGUAGACAUUGUUUGGUAAACGAUGGCAACAGAAGAACAAGAAGAAGAGGAGGCUAUUGUUGCAUUUCAUCAAAUUUUAUUUGAUAUAAGAUUGUUCCUUUUGUUUUUCAUCCGUCUUUAUUAUGGGCGUAAGCGUCGUUGUUUGAAUUAUUCAGAUCGCCCCCCAUCUUGUUACAGUUUAAUAGUUAGAUAAUCUAAGCAAAUUGAAUAUAUGGCAACUCUAGUUGGGGAAAAUGAUAUCAAAUGUCGAGAUAACCUUCGAAUGAAUAGGGACACUUUUGGACGUUUGUGUUAUCUUUUAGAAAAUCUAGGUGGUCUAACUGCAACUAGAAACGUCCAAGUAGGAGAACAAGUGGCUAUAUUUCUUAAGAUUUUGGGUCAUCAUACAAAAAACGUGUAGCUAGCACAGACUUUAAAAGAUCGGGGUACACCAUAAGUAAGCAUUUAAAUCGUGUAUUACUCGCAUUGCUUAGGUUACACACUAUACUUUUGACUACUCCUAAACCUGUGGAUGAUGACUUGGAUAACGAACGGUGGGUUACUUUAAGGGAUCCCUUGGUGCAUUAGAUGGCACUCACAUUGAAGUGAGAGAACCUCGUGUUGAUAAAGCAAGAUAUAGGAACCGCAAAGGUGAAGUGUCUGUUAAUGUGCUUGCAGUGUGUGAUGUUAAUAUGAAUUUCAUUUAUCUUUUGACUGAUUGGGAAGGGUCUGCAGCUGAUAGUAGAAUCCUUCGGGAUGCGAUUAGUACCUAACGGGUUUAAGGUUCCUACGGGUAUGUGUCGUUAUUUUAUAUAGAAGUUCUUUUGUACUAUGUACAGUGAAAGUAAUUUUGAAAACCUCAUUACUCGCGAUUACAGGUAAUUAUUAUUUGGUUGAUGGAGGUUACACAAACGCGAAUGGUUUUCUUGCACCCUACAGAAAAACUAGAUAUCAUCUUAAAGCAUAUGGUCCUGGCCGUGCUGCCCCUCGAAACUUUAGAGAAUAUUUAAACAUAAAACAUGCGAAGGCACGUAAUAUCAUUGAGAGGGCGUUUGGAGUAUUGAAGUUGAGAUGGGGUAUACUGAGAAGUCCUGCUUAUUACCCAAUCAAAGUCCUAAAUCGAAUUAUUAUGGCUUGUUGUCUCUUGCACAAUUUUAUACGUACAACAAAUGAUGUCGAUCAUGAAGAGGCAAAUGUCCCUGAAUUUAUUGUGAAUGACGACAGCGAUGAAGAUACUGACGACGAGGAAAAUGAUGAAGUGCUUAUAGAAAACGUUGAACCAUCACAACAAUGGACUUCAUGGCGGGACAAUAUUGCCAUGUCCAUGUAUAAUGAAUAUCUUGCCAAUCGUUGAAACUCUCAGAUGUCCUUUGAGCAAUUGUUUUUUUCCAGUCUUCUGUUGUAUUGUUUUGAACUUAUUAUCAUCUUAUGUAAUUUGCUAUUUUGUUU